CGUUUUCCAGCGCCCACGACCAGUGGAUCGUUCUGUCUGCAAAGGUCCCUCUUAGAGGGGCCGUAACCCCGUGUGCCGCUGACCCAGCUCAGACCAGACGGGGACCACCACACCUCGCUGGAGACCCCUCACUGCUCCAAGCACAAGAAAUGUGACUCCGAGCAGCGAGUACUCCUGAGGCUCAGAGGGAGAAAAACCCCAGCGUGAAGACAUCACAAGUGCAGGAUUUAAACGUAGAGCCACCCAGUUGCAGAACCCACACUCUGAGCCCGCUGCGGUCCGGCCUCCGCUGAAGACCCAGUCUUCCUCUGCCCCCCACUCAUAAGGAUACAGGCGAUCGCACUGAGGGCUUCCCUGGAGAAUCUCCGUAUCUCAAGAUCUUUAACCAAAUCACAGUUGCAAAGAAAGAUGCCUUUUCCACAGAAGGUCUUCAAAAUCAGGUAUGAAUUUUACACUCGUGGUACAUCUCUAUUGGGGCUUCCCACGUUUCGGAAGCUCAGGGACCACGUCUGGCUGUG
rnacentral:lncRNA from 1 species